GACGAACGCUGGCGGCGUGCUUAAUACAUGCAAGUAGAACGCAGUUGCGAACGGGUGAGUAACGCGUAGGUAACUGCCUGGUAGCGGGGGAUAACUAUUGGAAACGAUAGCUAAUACCGCAUACUACCAUAUGGACCUGCGUUGUAUUAGCUAGUGGGUGAGGUAACGGCUCACCAAGGCAACGAUACAUAGCCGAGCUGGGGGGGGGAUAGGCCAAAAUGGGAAUGAGACACGGCCCAGACUCCUACGGGAGGCAGCAGUAGGGAAACUUCGGGAAUGGGGGGAACCCUGACCGGGCAAAGCCGCGGGAGUGAAGAAGGGUUUCGGAUCGUAAAGCUCUGUUGUUAAGGAAGCGGUACUUAACCAGAAAGGGACGGCUAACUACGUGCCAGCAGCCGCGGUAAUUC
rnacentral:rRNA from 1 species